rfam:Trichobilharzia regenti genome assembly, scaffold: TRE_scaffold0040621
AUCCAGCUGAUGAGUCCCAAAUAGGACGAACUGCGCAUCCUGGAU